rnacentral:rRNA from 1 species
CCUACGGGCGGCAGCAGUCGAGAAUCAUUCACAAUGGGGGAAACCCUGAUGCUGCGACGCCGCGUGGGGGAAUGAAGGUCUUCGGAUUGUAAACCCCUGUCAUGUGGGAGCAAAUUAAAAAGAUAGUACCACAAGAGGAAGAGACGGCUAACUCUGUGCCAGCAGCCGCGGUAAUACAGAGGUCUCAAGCGUUGUUCGGAAUCACUGGGCGUAAAGCGUGCGUAGGCUGUUUCGUAAGUCGUGUGUGAAAGGCGCGGGCUCAACCCGCGGACGGCACAUGAUACUGGGAGACUAGAGUAAGGGAGAGGGAAGCGGAAUUCUCGGUGUAGCAGUGAAAUGCGUAGAUAUCGAGAGGAACACUCGUGGCGAAGGCGGGUUCCUGGACAUUAACUGACGCUGAGGCACGAAGGCCAGGGGAGCGAAAGGGAUUAGAUACCCUGGUAGUC